AUGGAGGAACAAGCAAAACUUAUCUUAAAGAAGUGUGAUGGACUUCCCCUUACAAUAUCAACUAUAGGUGGAUUCCUUGCCACUAAGCCUAAAACUGCUAUUGAAUGGAGGAAGAUGCAUGGCCGUAUUAGUGCUGAGUUGGAGAUCAACCCAGAGCUUAGGACUAUAAAGACAGUCCUUAUGAGGAGCUAUGAUGGCUUACCCUACCACCUCAAGUCAUGUUUCUUAUACAUGGCCAUAUUCCCGGAAGACUACAUAAUUAAGCGCAAGCGUCUGGUGAAGCGGUGGAUUGCAGAGGGUUAUUGCAAAGAGAUGUUGGGCAUGACAGCAGAAGAAGUUGGUGAUACCUACUUUGAUGAGCUUUUAGAGAGGAGUAUGAUUUUGCCGGGAGAAGGUGUAAACCAUCAUAGUGGAAAAGUUGAUUCUUGUCAGCUUCAUGAUAUCAUUCGUGAAAUAUGCAUCUCGAAGGCUAAGGAGGAAAAUCUUGUUUUCAUACUUGAGGAAGGAUGUUGUUUGAGCAGUACACAAGGUCCGAUACGGCAUCUUGUCAUUAGCAGCAAUUGGAAAAGAGAUAAAGAUGUGUUUGAUAAUAUGCUGGACUUGUCGCAUGUGAGAUCAGUGACCGUGUAUGGAGAGUGGACACCGUAUUUCAUCUCUGAAAAGAUGAGGUUCCUCCGGGUCCUCGAUUUGGAGGGCACAAUACGGUUCAGAAAUCACCAUCUUGACGAAAUUGGGCAGUUCCAUCACCUCAGAUACCUCUCUAUACGAAAUUGUGUUUACGUUUGGUACCUUCCUAGUUCUAUUGGGAAUUUGAGCCACCUCCAAACACUGGAUAUCAAAGGCACGCAUAUAUAUGAAUUGCCAGCAACUAUCACCAAGCUUCGCAAGCUACAAUACCUCCGUACAACCGGUGUUCCUAUUGGCGCAGAAAAGGAGGAUGCCAUGUUUGAUUAUGAGUUAGUUCAAAGGUCCAUAGGCUGCAGACUUUUGGUAUUUCAGCAGGCCAUUUUUUUGCUGUCUCUAGUCAAAUCAUUUUGGAGUGCACAACGUUCAGAACUUGGCUUGAACAUGCAUGAUAUAUUCAACCUGCACCGCGCUGCCUGGGUGUUUGUACACAGUGAACAUAGGGAUGGAGUUAAAGCUCCAAGGGGGACAGGAAAAUUGACGGCAAUGCAAAAUCUGGGUGUUGUCAAUGUUGCAAGGGGGCAGGAAAAGGUCCUAGAGGAGUUCAGUGCACUUACCCAGCUGCGUGAGCUUCAUGUAGCUGGUAUCAGCAAGGGAAACCAGAAAAAUUUCUGGUCUGUCAUUGCUGCUCACAACAAACUUCGUUCUUUGACUGUGCAUGGAGAUGAUAUAGAUGGUUGUUUGGGUGGGGAUUUGUUCCCACCAAAACACCUUGAGAGCCUCAAGUUGGCCGGACACCUAUACAGAGUACCGGAUUGGAUGCAUCACCUACAGAGUCUAUCAAAAUUGGACCUAGAUGAAAGCAAACUGAAAAAUGUUGUUGACAUACAAACCCUCGGUGAGCUAGCAAACCUCCAGGUUUUACGACUGAGAGACUCCGUAAUUGAAGAAAUGAAUGAGCUGCAGUUCCUUGGCUCAUCUUUCCCGAGCCUGCUGGUGCUCGAGCUUUGGGUCCCGUCCAGUCUCAACCUUUUGAGGUUUGAAAAUGACGCAAUGCCUAAGCUCGAGCUGCUACAAACUGAUGAAUACCUGGAGAUGAAGGGGCUACAAUUUCUCACGAACCUCAAGGAAAUUCGGAUGGAUGGUGAAGGCAUCAAUAAGAUGAAGAUGGAGUUAGAGAAGCAGUAUGCGGAGCAUCCAAAUCUCAAGAACAUCAGCUUGAAGCUGAUUACCUGA
rnacentral:rRNA from 1 species